rnacentral:misc_RNA from 1 species
CUGUGUAACAACUCACCUGCCG